rnacentral:antisense_RNA from 1 species
CUCAACCUUCCUCUGCAGCGCCCCUACCGACCCGCGCUCCGCAGCUCCUGAGGGCUUUCGAGCCCAGAUGGUCAUCUGAGACGAGAGGUGGCGGCGAAGGAGAGUCUCGCCUGUCACGCUCCCGGAGCAGGGGCUUCAUGAGGUGGCCAUGGAAACGGCCUGGCAGACUCCCAUCUCUCCUGGUGCCAUCUCCGGAGCGGAAAGUCGAGCGCCCCGCUGGCGACCAAGGCCGCACUGAGAGCCCUGGUUUGGUCAACAGUUGGGCUCCAAGGAGCCCUGGUAUUCCUUGAACAUGCAUACCUUUCCCAGCGUGAGGGACAUGGACCGUGCCGUGCGAGGGACCCCAUCUUCUGCAGCAGGAGGGAGCAGAGAAGAGAACACAGCCACCCUCAUCAGCCAGAGUCCAAACUCUGACAGUGCCCAUGGGGAGAUCUGGUCCAAGGCACCAACUUCUUCCUGCUGGACUGAGAAAGAGCCUCUUACUGUGUCUCUCUUUACCUCAGCUUUUGCACACCUCCAAUAUAUUGUCCACUGAAGUCAGAAUAAUCUAAAAAUAAAGCCUGAUUACAUCAUGUGGUAUAAACUUA